GACUUAAAGUAAAUGAGGUAGAAUCUUACAAAAUGAACAUCAUUCUUCUCCCUUCUGGCAGAAGUACAACAGGGAAAAAAGAAGAUAAACUACAACCAUAACACAUAUUUCUGGGUUUGCCAGCUAUGAAAGGCACAAAGCAAUUGAAUUCACAAAUAUAUCAGACACUGACUGAUUUUAGAAUUAACUUUUUAGAGUUUAAAAUUUGAUUAUUUAGUGGUAUAAGUAAUUUAACACAUC
rnacentral:lncRNA from 1 species